UGUGACUCUUGUGUUUGUCUGCUAUGCAUCAGUGUGAGGACAGAGAGGAGGGAAGAUCUCUGUGUGGGGAACAGGAGAACCAGAGCAAAGCUCAGAGCUCAGAGAAGCAGAAAACACACUCUGCUGGACCUGGACCUGGGCUUGGACCCGGACCUGGACCUGGAUCCAGCUGUGUGUCCAUGAAGAGUGACCAGUCAAAGGAGCAGCCCCUUCAUUUCAGUCGAUCUGCUGGUGGAAGGAUCCAGCAGCAGAGACCAGACUGUCCUGAACCCAGCUGUCUGUCCUUCAAGGGCGACCAGUCGAAG
ensembl:lncRNA